UACGUAGGUGGCAAGCGUUGUCCGGAAUUAUUGGGCGUAAAGCGCGCGCAGGCGGUUCUUUAAGUCUGGUGUGAAAGCCCACGGCUCAACCGUGGAGGGUCAUUGGAAACUGGAGAACUUGAGUACAGAAGAGGAAAGCGGAAUUCCACGUGUAGCGGUGAAAUGCGUAGAGAUGUGGAGGAACACCAGUGGCGAAGGCGGCUUUCUGGUCUGUAACUGACGCUGAGGCGCGAAAGCGUGGGGAGCAAACAGG
rnacentral:rRNA from 1 species